UACGUAGGGUCCGAGCGUUGUCCGGAAUUAUUGGGCGUAAAGAGCUCGUAGGCGGUUUGUUGCGUCGGCUGUGAAAUCCCGAGGCUCAACCUCGGGUCUGCAGUCGAUACGGGCAGACUAGAGGUAUGCAGGGGAGAACGGAAUUCCUGGUGUAGCGGUGAAAUGCGCAGAUAUCAGGAGGAACACCGGUGGCGAAGGCGGUUCUCUGGGCAUUACCUGACGCUGAGGAGCGAAAGUGUGGGGAGCGAACAGG
rnacentral:rRNA from 1 species